ACGUACGUACCCUCUUCAAAAAGAAUUAUAAACACAAAUUGAAUAAAAAUAAAAAUAAAAAUGGCUUCAUUAGGGGUUAAAAUAUGUCUUAUUCUUUAUGUUUUCGUGUUGGUGUCGAUGUCUAUAAAUGGAGAGGAGAAUAUGAGAGCUCCAGUGCCACCGUCUACCGGUUCUCCGUGCUCUAACAUCCCUGGCGGCAAAGGCCACUGCGAAGAUAUGUAUGUCCCUGGCGGCGGUGGUGGCUCCGUCCACCACGCACCACCACCGCCAUAUACUCCGGGAGCUGCCGUAGACUUGUAGACUUUGAGGCGCGCAACUUCUUUGGCAACUGAAUCGUGUCGUUACGACUGCGGAGAAGGACUUGGCUUCUUGAUCAUUAUUAGUUUUUUUUUUUUUUAGAGAGAAUCACAUUAUUCAUUAGUUGUUAUAUGAGUACUAUUCUUGCAUGUUAUUUGCUGAAAUUCUUGUAAUUUUUUUUUUUUUUUUUUUUUUUAUCAUUAUCUUAUUUUGAUAAUAGGGAAAUUAUAAAAUGCUAAAUCAGAUUAUCUAAACACUAAAGUAAUGGAUUAGUGGGUAUUGUAAGAAUAGUAAAAUAAAGUUAUGAUUUGAUCCUCAAAUUUAACGGGAAGGGAAG
rnacentral:lncRNA from 1 species